UACGUAGGGAGCAAGCGUUGUCCGGAAUCAUUGGGCGUAAAGAGCGCGUAGGCGGUCCGGUAAGUCAGCUGUGAAAGUCAAGGGCUCAACCCUUGAAAGCCGGUUGAUACUGUCGGGCUAGAGUCCGGAAGAGGCGAGUGGAAUUCCCGGUGUAGCGGUGAAAUGCGCAGAUAUCGGGAGGAACACCAAUGGCGAAGGCAGCUCGCUGGGACGGUACUGACGCUGAGGCGCGAAAGCGUGGGGAGCAAACAGG
rnacentral:rRNA from 1 species